rnacentral:lncRNA from 1 species
GAGUUCUCCCUUUUAUAGGCAGAGGGGGCAACAAACUGAUGGUGAUGCCUGUAACCGUCUGGCAGUGGGCCGCCCAUAGUCAGAAAAAGUUUGUUGCGGAGAGUAGUGGGGUGGACCCGUGGCUAUUACCGGGGCGUGCCACGUGGAGUCUGCCACGAGGAGUGGAGCGGCAUCCGUUGUCGCGACUUGCCAGAGGAUAGAAGAAUCGCGCGGUAUCCAUCGC